rnacentral:rRNA from 2 species
AUGAGAGUUUGAUCCUAGCUCAGGACGAACGCUGGCGGCGUGGAUAAGGCAUGCAAGUCGCGCGAAUACUAAAGCUUUGCGCAAGCAAGGUGUUGGUGUGAGCGGCGAACGGGGUAGUAAUACGCAGGAACAUCCCAUCGAGACGGGUACAACCAGUCGAAAGAUUGGCUAAUUCCCGAUAGCUCCCGAAAGGGUAAAGGAGUAAUCCGCUCGAUAAUUGGCCUGCGGCCUAUCAGCUAGUUGGUAAGGUAAAAGCCUACCAAGGCUAUGACGGGUAGGGGGCGUGAGAGCGUGUUCCCCACCAAUGGCACUGCGAUACGGGCCAUACACCUACGGGUGGCUGCAGUCGAGAAUUUUCCACAAUGGGCGAAAGCCUGAUGGAGCGACGCCGCGUGAAUGAAGAAGCUCUUCGGAGCGUAAAGUUCUUUUGUAGCGGAGAAAAUCGCCGCAAGGCGACUGAUAGUACGCUACGAAUAAGGGGCUGCUAAACUCGUGCCAGCAGCAGCGGUAAUACGAGUGCCCCGAGCGUUGUCCGGAUUUACUGGGCGUAAAGGGUGUGUAGGAGGCUUUGUUAGUCCUUUUUUAAAGACCCCGGCUUAACCGGGGAAUGAAGGGGAAACGGCAAGGCUUUGAGGAUGCGAGAGGUUAAUGGAACUCUAGGUGUAGGGGUGAAAUCCGUUGAUAUCUAGGGGAACACCAAAGGCGAAAGCAAUUAACUGGCGCAUUUCUGACUCUGAAACACGAAAGCGUGGGGAUCAAAAAGGAUUAGAUACCCUUGUAGUCCACGCCCUAAACGAUGUUCUCUAGCUAUUCGAAGUAUCGACCCUUCGUGUGGCGAAGCUAACGCGUUAAGAGAACCGCCUGGGAAGUACGGCCGCAAGGCUAAAACUCAAAGGAAUAGACGGGGACUUGCACAAGCAGUGGAUCAUGCGGUUUAAUUCGAUGCUAAACGAAGAACCUUACCAGGGCUUGAAAUCCAAUCGACGUUCACCAGAAACGGUGAAUUUCUCACAAGGACGGUUGGACAGGUGAUGCAUGGCUGUCGUCAGUUCGUGUUUUGAAUUGUUCCCUUAAGUGGGGUAACGAACGCAACCCUUAUCGUCUGUUACAAGUGUCAGGCGAGACUGCCCCCACCUUUGCGCAUUAGCGCAAAGAAAGCACGAAAUUCGAAGCACGAAAUUCGAAACGUUUAGAAUUUUGAAUUUAUAAUUUAGAAUUUGUUUCGGAUUUCGAAUUUAGGAUUUCGGAUUUCCUUUGUUCGCUAGUGAACAAAGGUGGGGGAGGAAGGCGAGGAUGACGCCAAGUCAGCAUGUCCCUCUGAUGCCCUGGGCUACACGCAUGAUACAAUGGCCGGUACAAAGAGUCGCAAAGCCGUAAGGCGAAGCUAAUCUCAUCAAAGCCGGUCCUAGUUCGGAUUGAGGUCUGCAACUCGACCUCAUGAAGUUGGAAUUGCUAGUAAUCGCGGGUCAGCUAUACCGCGGUGAAUACGUUCUCAAGUCUUGUACUCACCGCCCGUCAAGUCAAGAAAGCCGGGAGUACCCAAAAUGUCGCUUCGGCGAAACUAAGGUAAGCUCGGUAAUAGGGACUAAGUCGUAACAAGGCACGGCUAGCGGAAGCUG